UUUAUGGAGAGUUUGAUCCUGGCUCAGGACGAACGCUGGCGGCGUGCCUAAUACAUGCAAGUCGAGCGGAUCUUCCCUUCGGGGAGGGUUAGCGGCGGACGGGUGAGUAACACGUAGGCAACCUGCCUGCAAGACCGGGAUAACAUUCGGAAACGAAUGCUAAUACCGGAUACGCAGUAUCCUCGCAUGGGGAGACUGGGAAAGACGGUGCAA
rnacentral:rRNA from 1 species